UUAUGAACCUCUUAGUAAAACUUCCUUGCUGGCUCUAGCACCAAGAACAGUAGCACUGCCCUCAAGUAACCGGUCUGUGUUGGAUCCUAUAGAUCCUGAAUCUAGUGACUCACCAGGUUUUUCUUUGGUAGGGGCUAAGAAAAACCCUACAAAACCACCCACGUGGCCCAUGUUAACAUCAUUACAAGCCAUUAUGAUCCCUUGUACAUACCCAGCUCAACUUUUCAUUUUUCCUUUGUCUUCCAUUUUUAGCUUUUGUUUCUCUUUGUAAGCUGCUGUGAAUCUUUCGUGGGGCAAAACAAAGGAUGGAUGAACAAACAGAGAGAAGAACCGGCCUUCAGUCGCUGAAAAGGGAAAAGAAUCAGCCGUUAAACCAUGAUGUGGCUUUGAAAAAUGAUCAGAAAAAUCUUGGGUAUGACCCGAAGGAUGUAACAGAGUAUUACAUCACCAAAGAAGUACCUGCAAGAACUGGAGAGACCUCAGGUUUCACAGAGAUGUCACCUGGAUAGGUGAAAUACACCUUUCCAAAGCAUCUGACUCCGUCACCAUCGUGACAGGGUUUCGAAACCUCAGAGUCAGUGUUGGGCAGCAGCUAGAAUGAGCAGAUGCUCUGUGUUUCUUCAGAUAUCUGUGGGUGGAGAAGCUCCAGGUAACAUUUUGUGAUGUCACCACACGGAGACUGUGAUGCAAAUGAAUACACAUUUUCCCCCAAAAUGGGACGUGCUAGAAAAACAUCGUACCUGAUUAUUGGAGCUGGUAUAAUUUCCAGUAGAACAUCUUUUGCCCUCUUUGUCUCUCUGAAUAGUAUUUUCAAUUCUCAGCAUCAACCAAAAAAACAUCCUGUUCUCAGUAACUGGCUAUGAACGAAGGGUUUUAAAUAGUUUCCCUGGGAAAUUCAGGCUUGCUUUCACCUAUGUGGAAACUUAAACAUGCCUUUAUAAUGCUCAUGUUGCCAGUCACUUAGCAAAAUUUUUCAGGUGAAUUCACUCAUUGAUUUGAAAAAGCAUUAUUUUUAGCUAAAUAGAAUCAAAAUUAUGGUGUUUGUUGUACAAAUGUAGCUAUGAACAGGAGGAAAAACUCCAAUUUUGUAGCUGAAUGGGGUUCCCUUGAAAUCAAGAUGUGGCAUAUUCAAUCUGCUCAAUCAGUAUUUAUUACGUGCCUUCUCUUUGUGAGGCAUUGUACCAGGUGGAGCAAGGGAUUCUACGAUGAGCGGACGAUGCCUCCACACCGUGGAAUGUGUACACUAUGUUAGGCGGUGCAUAAACCACACCUUCCACCACAAAGAUCUGUGUUAAGCAUAAAAAGGUAUUCAGCUAAGGGAGGGGGGUUGGAAAGAGGGAGAGAGUCCUUGUCGUGGCGCCUGGGCAAGGCUCCAUGGAUUUUGAGCUGAGCCGCUAUGGACUAAUCAACAGUUCCCUCUUACCCCACACCAACCUGGCAUAAUUUUGCAAAUGAGUUUCAGAGGCAGACUGGGCUACUGAAGGAUGGUAUUUGAAGAUUUAAAAAAUGUUUUUAAGGGUUUUUAUUUAUUUAUUCAUGAGAGACACACAGAGAGAGGCAGAGACACAGGCAGAGGGAGAAGCAGGCUCCAUGCAGGGAGCCCGAUGAGAGACUUGAUCCCAGGACCCCGGGAUCACGCCCCCGGCCGAAGGCAGACGCUCAACCACUGAGCCUCCCAGGGGCCCCAGGGACUUGAAGAUUUAAAAAACAACAACAAAACUGGAGCUUUAGUAUAAAACUGGCAAGCUUUAGUCUAUUAUGCUAUUAUUUGUGAAAUUAGUUUCUUUACUAACCAUUGUUUAAAAAGUGAAGGCCAUGGAUGAAGAUACGUUGUCCUCUCUUGGAAUAACUCCAGUGUGUCCGACAGGCACCCCCUGAAUGCCCACCACACCCCCCAUGCUGUACUUCUGAGAAGGUUCCAUGUAAAGUUGGAAAUAAGCCCACUACCGAAGGCGCAACUGAAAUCGCCUUUUCAAGUGAAAAGCAUGUGUGCUUGUGCUGGAAAGGGCCGCCGCAUCUUACUCCUCAGGAACAGAAAGCGGGAGCAGACCUGGAGAGAGAGCUCUUACCCGCUUACCCCACGUCAUCUCCUGUGACCGAUUGUAAAACUCUUCCAGUUUGAAACUGAGAAAUUUUAAGUUUGCUUGUACAGGAAAAACGUCGACUGCCGAAGUCUGUUGCUAAAGAUCUCUGCAAACGCACCAGAACUGUUAACGGAGGGGAGGGUGCUGAAGGGCAAGCGAGCAAGGGACCUGUCACACUUCUAUUCUGUAUUUGUGUGCUGUUUAAUAUUAUUCCCAAAAUGUGUAUUACUUUUUAUAAAUGUCAGAAAGGAGGAAACCAAUAUAAUUUCACAUCCUGUUGCUUAAA